CAGCAGCCACGGUAAAACAGAGGGUGCGAGCGUUAAUCGGAUUUACUGGGCGUAAAGCGUGCGUAGGCGGCUUCUUAAGUCGGAUGUGAAAUCCCUGAGCUUAACUUAGGAAUUGCAUUCGAUACUGGGAAGCUAGAGUAUGGGAGAGGAUGGUAGAAUUCCAGGUGUAGCGGUGAAAUGCGUAGAGAUCUGGAGGAAUACCGAUGGCGAAGGCAGCCAUCUGGCCUAAUACUGACGCUGAGGUACGAAAGAAUGGGGAGCAAACAGGAUUAGAUACCCCUGUAGUCCCUGUCUCUUAUAC
rnacentral:rRNA from 1 species